ensembl:snRNA U6 U6 spliceosomal RNA
AGGGUUGAGUGCUCACUCUUUGUACUAAAAUUGAAACAAUAUAGAGAAAAUUAGUAUGGUCCCUAUGCAAGGGUGAUACACAAAUUCGUGAAGUGUUUCAGAUUACA